GGAGGGGUGUCCGAGUGGCUGAAGGUGAUUGACUCGAAAUCAAUUGUGCAUAAUAUGCACCGGGGGUUCAAAUCCUCUCCCCUCCGCCA
rnacentral:tRNA from 1 species